rnacentral:rRNA from 1 species
CCAAUAGCGUAUAUUAAAGUUGUUGCAGUUAAAAAGCUCGUAGUUGAACUUCGGGGUUUGCUCAUUGGUCAGGCUUAAUUGUCUGUACUGGUGAGAUAAAUCUCUACCUUCUGAGGAACUUUCAUGCCAUUUAUUUGGUGUGAUGGGAAAUCAGGACUGUUACUUUGAAAAAAUUAGAGUGUUUAAAGCAGACUAACGUCUGAAUACAUUAGCAUGGAAUAAUGAAAUAGGACGGACUGAUUCUAUUUCGUUGGUUUCUAGGAUCACCGUAAUGAUUAAUAGGGAUAGUUGGGGGCAUUAGUAUUCAAUUGUCAGAGGUGAAAUUCUUGGAUUUAUUGAAGACUAACUACUGCGAAAGCAUUUGCCAAGGAUGUUUUCAUUAAUCAAGAACGAAAGUUAGGGGAUCGAAGACGAUCAGAUACCGUCGUAGUCUUAACCAUAAACUAUGCCGACUAGGAAUCAGACGAUGUUAAUUUUUUAAUGACUCGUUUGGCACCUUACG